rnacentral:rRNA from 1 species
ACUCCUACGGGAGGCAGCAGUGGGGAAUUUUGGACAAUGGGCGCAAGCCUGAUCCAGCCAUGCCGCGUGCGGGAAGAAGGCCUUCGGGUUGUAAACCGCUUUUGUCAGGGAAGAAAAGGUUCUGGCUAAUACCUGGGACUCAUGACGGUACCUGAAGAAUAAGCACCGGCUAACUACGUGCCAGCAGCCGCGGUAAUACGUAGGGUGCAAGCGUUAAUCGGAAUUACUGGGCGUAAAGCGUGCGCAGGCGGUUAUGCAAGACAGAGGUGAAAUCCCCGGGCUCAACCUGGGAACUGCCUUUGUGACUGCAUGGCUAGAGUACGGUAGAGGGGGAUGGAAUUCCGCGUGUAGCAGUGAAAUGCGUAGAUAUGCGGAGGAACACCGAUGGCGAAGGCAAUCCCCUGGACCUGUACUGACGCUCAUGCACGAAAGCGUGGGGAGCAAACAGGAUUAGAAACCCGGGUAGUCCCAUGAU